UACGUAGGUGACAAGCGUUGUCCGGAUUUACUGGGCGUAAAGAGCGCGCAGGCGGUCGUUCAAGUCGAGUGUGAAAGCCCCCGGCUCAACUGGGGAGGGUCAUUCGAUACUGAUCGACUCGAAGGCAGGAGAGGGUAGUGGAAUUCCCGGUGUAGUGGUGAAAUGCGUAGAUAUCAGGAGGAACACCGGUGGCGAAGGCGGUUCUCUGGGCAUUCCUUGACGCUGAGGCGCGAAAGCGUGGGGAGCAAACAGG
rnacentral:rRNA from 1 species